ACUCCUACGGGAGGCAGCAGUGGGGAAUCUUAGACAAUGGGCGCAAGCCUGAUCUAGCCAUGCCGCGUGAGUGAUGAAGGCCGUUAGGGUCGUAAAGCUCUUUCGCCAGGGAUGAUAAUGACAGUACCUGGUAAACGAAACCCCGGCUAACUCCGUGCCAGCAGCCGCGGUAAUACGGAGGGGUUAGCGUUGUUCGGAAUUACUGGGCGUAAAGCGCGCGUAGGCGGAUUAGUCAGUUAGAGGUGAAAUCCCAGGGCUCAACCCUGGAACUGCCUUUAAUACUGCUAGUCUUGAGUUCGAGAGAGGUGAGUGGAAUUCCGAGUGUAGAGGUGAAAUUCGUAGAUAUUCGGAGGAACACCAGUGGCGAAGGCGGCUCACUGGCUCGAUACUGACGCUGAGGUGCGAAAGGUGUGGGGAGCAAACAGGAUUAGAUACCCUGGUAGCGACUGA
rnacentral:rRNA from 1 species